rnacentral:lncRNA from 1 species
GAGACACACCACCAUGCAAUGAUUCUUCUUCCACUCGCAGGCCUCCCACUCCGGUAACUCUUUUUCUGCUCUAGCAUAGCAUAGCUGGUAAGCAACCGAUCCUCUCUUUUGCUCUCUCUUGCUCUAUUAUCUUGCUCUGCGUGUGUCCAUGACCACACACCCCUUCUGCUAAGUUAUGUUCUGGCGAUGGUGAUUUCUGUCUAGUGCUUAUGAUGCUUUGGACUUGUAGUUUAGUGAUGCCAAGUGUUGCAUCGAUAAUAUUUGAUCAAAACCACCCAUUUAAGUUGAACAAUUGAAGAGAGCCUGCUGAAGUUUUUUGCAUGACUUGCACUUGAGCCAUGCAUAUUCAUAUUAUGUAUCUGUUUUCCUGUAUGUAUGGGUAUCUCAUUUUAACUAGUUGGAGGACAAAAAGCAUGGCACUAGCUUAAUUUGUGUUAUCAUUCUAAAUAAAUGUCAUUUUCUUGAAUGGUCUGUUCAAUAUAUUUGCCCCAAUUUUUCUUAUUUCUCUCUCAUUCAUGUAACAGGGUGACAGAGGAAGCCAUGUUGCAGUUUUGUUUGUUGCCAGCCCUGACUUCGGUCGUCCAGUGAGUUUGGCAUGUUGUUCAUCUGACUACGGUCGUCCAGCGAGUCUGUCAUGUUGUUCAUCUAACUAAGUCGUCCAGCGAGUCUGGCAUGUUGUCAUUUUCUUGUAAAGCAGUACCGUAUUACACUUGUAGAGCUCGUUAGUACACUUG